rnacentral:rRNA from 1 species
AGAACGAACGCUGGCGGCAUGCCUAACACAUGCAAGUCGAACGCUCCUGGGGCUUCGGUCUCAGGGGAGUGGCGCACGGGUGAGUAGCGCGUGGGAACCUGCCCUGUUGUGGGGGAUAACCGAGGGAAACUUCGGCUAAUACCGCAUAAGCCGGGAAACCGGGAAAGAUUUAUCGCGACAGGAGGGGCCCGCGUCGGAUUAGCUAGUUGGUGGGGUAACGGCCCACCAAGGCAGUGAUCCGUAGCUGGUCUGAGAGGAUGAUCAGCCACACUGGGACUGAGACACGGCCCAGACUCCUACGGGAGGCAGCAGUGGGGAUAUUGGACAAUGGGCGCAAGCCUGAUCCAGCAAUGCCGCGUGAGUGAUGAAGGCCUUAGGGUUGUAAAGCUCUUUCGCCCGCGACGAUGAUGACGGUAGCGGGAGAAGAAGCCCCGGCUAACUUCGUGCCAGCAGCCGC